rfam:Stegodyphus mimosarum contig38246, whole genome shotgun sequence.
GCUUUCGUAGUGUAGUGGUCAGCACGCUCGACGCGUAUUCGAGAGGUCCGUGAUUCGAGUCCCGGCGACGGCA